UACGUAGGUGGCGAGCGUUGUCCGGAUUUACUGGGCGUAAAGAGCGCGCAGGCGGUCGUACAAGUCGCGUGUGAAAGCCCCCGGCUCAACUGGGGAGGGUCACGCGAUACUGUUCGACUCGAAGGCAGGAGAGGGUAGUGGAAUUCCCGGUGUAGUGGUGAAAUGCGUAGAUAUCGGGGAGGAACACCAGUGGCGAAGGCGACUACCUGGCCUGUUCUUGACGCCUGAGGCG
rnacentral:rRNA from 1 species